UCAAAAAUGGCCUUGAUCAUAUGACAUUCACAUGCAAUUCAAUCAAUCAUCAAGAUUUAGGCAAUAUCACUCAUGUUUUCCUGUGAACAACACAUGCAACAAUAAAAACUCUGGAGCUCAAAACCUCACACACAUGCUUUCUCACACAAUAUUCAUUCAUACACCCUGCUUAGCAUCAUAACCACAAUCAUAAUUCAUCAC
rnacentral:lncRNA from 1 species